UGAAGGCUCGGCUCGGGCUGGUCGCUGGACCCAGUUGCAGAACCUGCCGGCCAGGUGAACGAACAGAGCUCUUGGCUCUAAGGUAGCUCCGUCUGCUCCUCCGAGUGAGCGAGGCUUUCUGGGGGGUCCCGCGGUCUCCCGGCCGUCGCCUUCCCACUGCUGAAGACAGCGCAACGGCGGGCGCACCCUGCAUUCAGGUGGCAGUAUCGAAGCCAAAAGCUUCCAGAAGUGGUUUCUGAAAAAUAAGACUUGAAUGUACAUGAGUAAGCAAACACAGGAAUCCAGAAAAUCCACAGCCUAGAAGAAGGACCAUGGAGAUGAUGCUCGGUAAUCCAAUCCAGCAGAUUCACUCUUUGGCAAUGAACAGGAAUGAAACGCAGAUAAGUCGUUAGAAAACUUUUCGAGGCAAAGCGCCUCGUGUGAUCAGAACAAAGCCGUUUUAUAAUCAGAUUUACCAAGCUGAGAGCGAGUUUCGGGCAAACGGAAGCUGCAGUGUUCUGUCACCAGGAAACACUGCAUUUUCUAGAAUCGAACUGGCCAUAUGCUAUGAAAACCCUUCCCCUGUCAGCAGGGACACAAUCCCGCUUCUACAACUAAAUUGAGGGCAGAAGAAGAAUGCUGUUGCAAGAUGUGGCAAGAUCCUUGGUUUGUACCAAGCUGCUUCCAACAAAAUACUUGCUCUUCUGACCAGUUGAAGAAAUGGAUUCAUUUUCACUGUGUGACAACCGGCCUCAACCAGUUUGGCAGCAAAUACUUGAUCGAGCCUGGUUUACUUCUGUUCUUCCUACAUCAUUGCCCCAAAACUUUUAUGAAGGACUUUCCAGUCUCAAUAGAAUUUGAACAUUUUAUGUGUUUCAGCAUCUCACUCCAUCAUUAGUUCCCUGAAAGCUCGCCCUAGAAUUUACUGGACUGUCCACUACUGCCGAUCAUCCCUUCUGAGAGCGUGUUGGAAUGAGAAGGAGCUUAGUUGAGGAGCUCAAGCAUGACUUUCUGUGGUGAGAGGAAGAAGAGAAUGGAACUUGCUUCGAAGAAAAACAAGUUUAAUAAUAUGGGUUAUUUGCCUACUCUUUUGGUAAAUAAAUUUACACUUAUGAAUAUUUUUAGAAAGUAGAAAUUGAAGCUAGAAUUCUCACUAGAGGAAUAGUUUUAAAGGGGUAUUUAUUAAUUGUUAUAUAAACUAGAGAUUUUUAGUAAGAAAUCAUGUAUUUUCCAUUAAUAUGCUUAAAAAUGGAAAAGGAGUAAAGUGAUUUAAAGAUAAAUGUCUAUGUAAUUAACUAAUUGCCAAUGAUGGUAAUAUAAUGUGUUUUUGUCAUCUUGUGCUGAAUUCAAUAAAAAUGAAGCUAAUGACUUAGAAUUUAUAAAA